CCGAAACGCCAUUUUUUUCAAGUGGACGCAGUAUUUUGACAGAUAAGAGAACGAGAAGUACAAGCCUCAAUGGCUGCAGAGCUUUGGCAAACACUUUUAAACCAGUUUUUGCGUAUACUUUUGCUUGUGAACCAGCCUUCAAAUAUUCCUUCCAACAUGGUGGGAGGAGCUCCGUGUUAAAGCAGAGACGCUUGAGCCCCAUGGCGUACUUCCACAUCGAUGGCAGUAAAUGGAUGUCAUUGGUCCUUUUCAUGUGAAUUCAGAAGUUUUUGGAAGAAGACCAUUGUCAUAAGACUAGUUGGUGCUUUCCCGCACAAGAUAACAUAGUAUUUUGUGACUGUCAAGAGGAGCUUCUUUGAGGAAGAUGAGACAUGUGCAAAGGCACAUAUCAAGCACUUGUCCUCACUUUGCCUUGCCAAUGACCAAUAAAUGGUUGACUACAGUAUCUGAAGAUUUUUUAAGGAGUUGAAUGUCAUACAGACCUCUGCCUAUGGCUGCUAUAAAAUCAAAGUUUUACAGUGUUAUGUGAAGAAUUAAAAAAAUAUAUAGGAGUAUGUAAAGAAAUGUUGUAACUGUAAAUUGAAGUAACUUUUUUCUAUUUUCAUCUAGAUUUAAUAAAAAAUGUUUCCAUAGAUAUACACUGAGUAGUCAAAAAAGUUGCAAAUUUAAACUGUACAUCUAAAAGUUUAAGGCCAUGUGAUUGAAAUCAUUUGGAUUCUAAAAUUGUGAAAAGUAUGUGUCCAUUUUAUAUAAAAUUAAGGCAAUCAUUUUCAAUAGUUAUUUAAGGAAUAACUGUCAAGUUAGUAGAGUAUACCAGGGCAUCA